UCUGGAGUGAGAUGUCUUCUUGUCUUCACAUGACUGAAGUUCGCAUCAAAUUGUAAAUUGACUGAAAAAGCGUGAUUAAGGAUUAUUGAUGAAAAUAUUAUAGAUGAUAGAUGAGUGUAUUAUAAUACUGUUAUAUAGUCAAUUGGUUAGUUUUAGUCUGAGGCUUACGUCAGCAGACGGCGCUUGACGUCAAAACUGUUGACAUUUAGAAGAGCAAGAACUCAAAGUACAUUUCUCUGUUUUAUUUAGUUGCUACCAGAUACGAGAUGAUAGUUAUUAGACUCGCUAUUUGACCACCAUCUGCUGCACAAUAGUGUUUUAGUGAAAUAGGGACGAAGCUAGCCACAACAACAGCUCAUGCUAUGCAAAUUGUUAAUGAUUUGCAUCAUUCAAACCUUUAGAAAUGUAUUGAUGUCUAUAUACUCAGAUGCAGGUUUAUUGGCAUAGCAUGACCAGCUGCUAUGGCUAGCUCGCCACUGCAUUGAAGACUACCUACUGAUGAACAGAUGUAAAAAUAGUUAGCAGUGGAAAAUGUAGUGAUUAAAAAAAGAGGUAUUAAAUUUAUUACAAGUGAAAGUUCC